rnacentral:rRNA from 1 species
GAUCAACGCUGGCGGCGUGCCUAAUACAUGCAAGUCGAGCGAACAGACGAGGAGCUUGCUCCUCUGAUGUUAGCGGCGGACGGGUGAGUAACACGUGGAUAACCUACCUAUAAGCCUGGGAUAACUUCGGGAAACCGGAGCUAAUACCGGAUAACAUGUUGAACCGCAUGGUUCAACAGUGAAAGACGGUCUUGCUGUCACUUAUAGAUGGAUCCGCGCCGCAUUAGCUAGUUGGUAAGGUAACGGCUUACCAAGGCAACGAUGCGUAGCCGACCUGAGAGGGUGAUCGGCCACACUGGAACUGAGACACGGUCCAGACUCCUACGGGAGGCAGCAGUAGGGAAUCUUCCGCAAUGGGCGAAAGCCUGACGGAGCAACGCCGCGUGAGUGAAGAAGGUCUUCGGAUCGUAAAACUCUGUUAUUAGGGAAGAACAAAUGUGUAAGUAACUAUGCACGUCUUGACGGUACCUAAUCAGAAAGCCACGGCUAACUACGUG